rnacentral:rRNA from 1 species
GGGUCAUUAGGUUGGUCGUGCCACCGGUACGUACUGGUCUCACUGAUUCCUCCUUCCUGAAGAACCGUAAUGCCAUUAAUUUGGUGUUGCGGGGAAACAGGACUGUUACUUUGAAAAAAUUAGAGUGUUUGAAGCAAGCUAACGCUUGAAUACAUUAGCAUGGAAUAAUGAAAUAGGACGAUCGAUCCUAUUUUGUUGGUUUCUAGGAUUGACGUA